rnacentral:rRNA from 1 species
GAUGAACGCUAGCUACAGGCUUAACACAUGCAAGUCGAGGGGCAGCGCAGUGUAGCAAUACAUGGGCGGCGACCGGCGCACGGGUGCGUAACGCGUAUCCAACCUUCCCGUUACUCAGGGAUAGCCUUCCGAAAGGGAGAUUAAUACCUGAUGGUGUUCAAAUUCCGCAUGUUAUUUGAACUAAAGAUUUAUCGGUAACGGAUGGGGAUGCGUGACAUUAGAUAGUAGGCGGGGUAACGGCCCACCUAGUCUACGAUGUCUAGGGGUUCUGAGAGGAAGGUCCCCCACACUGGAACUGAGACACGGUCCAGACUCCUACGGGAGGCAGCAGUGAGGAAUAUUGGUCAAUGGUCGGAAGGCUGAACCAGCCAAGUAGCGUGAGGGAUGACAGCCCUACGGGUUGUAAAACCCUCUUUUGUCCGGGGAAUAAAAACGGGGGCGCGUCCCCCCUUGCAUGUACCGGUUGAAUAA